AUUGUUUGAUGUUUCCGGGGUUCUUCUUUGCUGUUGGUCAUUUUCAGUGUUUGCUGCAUCCUCUGAUCUUUCGGACAAAAGAAUAGUUGCUUCUCUUAAUAAAUUAAAUGCUCUAUUAACGUUCGCCAUGCUUUCGAAACAAUUUCAAAAUAUGAUUUGCACAUUGAUUAUAUCAGCGACUACAUGAAGUGUAUUAGAUCACCACUGUAUCAUCCGGUAUCAUAAUGCAGGCUCGAAAAGUAUAAACAAAACAGCCGAAUACAAAACAGCCGAAUACGAAACAGCCGAAUACGAAACAGCCGAAUACGAAACAGCCGAAUACGAAACAGCCGAAUAUACGAAACAGCCGAAUACGAAACAGCCGAAUACGAAAUAGCCGAAUACGAAACAGCCGAAUAUACGAAACAGCCGAAUAUACGAAACAGCCGAAUAUACGAAACAGCCGAAUACGAAACAGCCGAAUACGAUUUUGCCGAAUAGAACUGUAUAAUUGGGUCAAAUUGAAU